rnacentral:rRNA from 1 species
CUACGGGGCGCUCCAGGUGAGAAAACUUUGCAGUGUGCGAAAGCACGACAAGGUUAGUCCGAGUGGUUUCUGCUAAAGGAACCUUUUGUCAGUCCUAGAAACACUGAUGAAUAAGGGGUGGGCAAGUUCUGGUGUCAGCCGCCGCGGUAAAACCAGCACCUCAAGUGGUCAGGAUGAUUAUUGGGCCUAAAGCAUCCGUAGCCUGCUUUGUUAGUUUUCGGUUAAAUCCAUACGCUCAACGUAUGGGCUGCCGGGAAUACUGCAAAGCUAGGGAGUGGGAGAGGUAGACGGUACUCGGUAGGAAGGGGUAAAAUCCUUUGAUCUAUUGAUGACCACCUGUGGCGAAGGCGGUCUACCAGAACACGUCCGACGGUGAGGGAUGAAAGCUGGGGGAGCAAACCGGAUUAGAUACCCCUGUAGUC